UAUAUUUAAGUAUUAUGAAGAAUAUAAUAUUAGCUAUGUGUCUAAAGGCUUUAAAAAAUUGCGUAGAUGGAUGGACUAGAUGUCGUUCAUCUUUCAGACACUCCCGAUGUUGAAUAACUUUGGCAAUGCACCUGCGAUAAAACUUUCUUUCCCACGACACCAGCAACAUAUGGUGUAGCAAAAUCAAGUGGAUUGUUGCAAACGAGGCCUUCAGGUGUCGCAUAAAUUGGUAUGGGUACCUGCAAAUGUUCAACAGACGCAUUGCCGGCCGCAAUGGGGGGUGUUAAUAAGAUGGAUUUUCUUAUUACCUUGUAUCGGACAUUUAUCAGGUCUAAAAAGUGGACUCUGAGAAUGUUUGCUCAUGCCAUAGAUAUAACAUGCGUAAACGGCUGGUUCGAAUAUAAAGAGCUGCUAACUUGGGUGUAGCCUAGAAAGAUAUCCUAGAUUUGCUGCACUUCAGAACCUAUAUUGCUGAGGUUCUAAUCUUGUCCGAAAAAAACAUCUUCAAAAAAGAGGGGGCGUCCAUCAGCUGAUAGUCCAGGUCCUUCAACGCUCAAAACUGUAAAAGUAAGACCAGAAAUUAGACCGAUAGCCGAAGUUCGUUUGGUCAGACUAGACCAUUUACCAUCCAUUGAUGGACAAGACUUUGCAUCUAGGUGUAAAGGACGAUCCAGAAUUUUAUGCCAAAAAUGUAAUGUUUACCUGACCUUUACAAAAAAAGCAACUGUCUUUCAAUAUAUCAUAAAAGUAA